GGGGACGACAGGCUUCGACGUGGUCGGCUCGUGGGGGUGGUCGCGAGUCGAGGUCCCGGGAGGCCUCGUAAAACACCCGGGAAACAAUAAGUGCGGACACGCACAAUUUUGACCUCGGUCUUGCUGCUUAGUCACUGACCUAGGUUCUCUCGGGCCCCGCUCGCCUGUGGCGGGGAUCGCCGGGAUCAGAUAGCAGGCUCACCCGGUGAGGUCCGCUCCAGCCGAUCCGGGGAAAACUUUCGGAGCUGGCCCCCGCCAACCCCGCCGGCGAGGCGAGGCGAGGGCGAGAUUAGAGCGCCGGCUACGCUCGUAGACGCCACCUUGCACGCGAUCGCGGACGCGGGUUCAAUUCCCGCCGUCUCCACCU
rnacentral:tmRNA from 1 species